rnacentral:rRNA from 1 species
AUUGAACGCUGGCGGCAUGCCUUACACAUGCAAGUCGAACGGCAGCACGGGAGCAAUCCUGGUGGCGAGUGGCGAACGGGUGAGUAAUAUAUCGGAACGUGCCCAGUCGUGGGGAUAACGUAGCGAAAGCUACGCUAAUACCGCAUACGAUCUACGGAUGAAAGCGGGGGAUCGCAAGACCUCGCGCGAUUGGAGCGGCCGAUAUCAGAUUAGGUAGUUGGUGAGGUAAAGGCUCACCAAGCCGACGAUCUGUAGCUGGUCUGAGAGGACGACCAGCCACACUGGGACUGAGACACGGCCCAGACUCCUACGGGAGGCAGCAGUGGGGAAUUUUGGACAAUGGGCGCAAGCCUGAUCCAGCAAUGCCGCGUGCAGGAUGAAGGCCUUCGGUUGUAAC